rnacentral:tRNA from 1 species
GGGAAUGUGGCUCAGCUGACAGAGUGUUUGCCUGGCAUGCAUGAUGCCCUGGGUUCAAUCCCUAGCACCA